rnacentral:rRNA from 1 species
UUGGAGGGCAAGUCUGGUGCCAGCAGCCGCGGUAAUUCCAGCUCCAAUAGCGUAUAUUAAAGUUGUUGCAGUUAAAAAGCUCGUAGUUGAAUUUCGGAAUCUGUCCGUCGGUCGGGCUUCACUGUUCGUACUGGUGUGAUGGGUUUCUACCUUCUGAAUAACCGGCAUGUCAUUAAUUUGAUGCGCCGGGGAAGCAGAACUAUUACCUUGAAAAAAUUAGAGUGUUUAAAGCAGGC